rnacentral:rRNA from 1 species
GACGAACGCUGGCGGCGUGCUUAACACAUGCAAGUCGAACGGAAAGGCCCUGCUUUUGCGGGGUGCUCGAGUGGCGAACGGGUGAGUAACACGUGAGUAACCUGCCCUUGACUUUGGGAUAACUUCAGGAAACUGGGGCUAAUACCGGAUAGGAGCUCCUGCUGCAUGGUGGGGGUUGGAAAGUUUCGGCGGUUGGGGAUGGACUCGCGGCUUAUCAGCUUGUUGGUGGGGUAGUGGCUUACCAAGGCUUUGACGGGUAGCCGGCCUGAGAGGGUGACCGGCCACAUUGGGACUGAGAUACGGCCCAGACUCCUACGGGAGGCAGCAGUGGGGAAUAUUGCACAAUGGGCGAAAGCCUGAUGCAGCAACGCCGCGUGCGGGAUGACGGCCUUCGGGUUGUAAACCGCUUUCGCCUGUGACGAAGCGUGAGUGACGGUAAUGGGUAAAGAAGCACCGGCUAACUACGUG